ensembl:lncRNA
CUGCACUCUUUUUUCUUUACCCUGCGGGAGGGGGGCACACACAUUGCAGGCUGGUGGCGCGCUGGCUAUAGCAGCAUGGUGCAGGGCAUGUAUGGGAGCGCUUGCUGGAGGGCAGCUCUCGCCCACCACCGUGCGUGUGCCUGCGAGCCUGCUUGAAACAAAGAGGCUCACACCGGGGAAGCCCCAACUUGGACAAUGCAAAUAUUUCAGCAUCCAAACGGUUAAUGAUUGCAUUUUAAAUCAAAAUGCUCUCCAUGACUGCCUGCUUUGCAGCACUAGGUUAAUCCAGUUUAUUCAGCAAACACGUCUAAGAGCAACUUAAGGGGAAAAAAAGCUGGAAAUCGCCUCUUCAUAUUUCUAGAUGGCGCGCUGGGGAAGAAUCUGAAGUGGAUCAACCAGGCCCCAGAGGAAGCCGCACGGAAAAACACAAAUAAUAUCAAUAUCGCGCAGCCACGGGAAACAAUGGGGCAGCGCUCGGCGUGACAUGCACGCCGCUAUUGUUUCAAGAGCUGGGGAAUUAAUUCCACUUAUUUAUUUAAGGCGUGUCAACUCGCUGCCUAAACCUGUUUCGGUGUCAAGAUGAAUAAAACUUUUAUGGCUCAUAAAAUAGAGCCAUUCAUCUCAAUGUUCUUUGUGGUGCCUGUUGUUUUUUUUUUUUUUUCCUCUCCCCCCGGCAGGCUGAGCCUGGCAGCUCGGUGCUACUGGCUCGCUCGCACCGGCACUGCGCUUGGUUGGCACCUGGAGUGGGUAAUAUCCCCACAUUUCUGCUGGGUCUUAUUCUGCAUGAGCAGGAAUGUUGAUGCACAAUGCCCAUGCUCUGAGUUCUGCUAUUCUCUGGCACACGGUACAGCUCAAAAAGUAGUGAUGGAAAUGCACGAUCAGACAAUGGCAACAGCAGCGUGGUCACGUUCCUAUUGCAUCCGCUGCUUUGCUGCUGCUUUUCCUUGGGCUUUGGAAUGAGCAGCACUAUGUGCACAUAGGAUGGGCAUUGCGGGUGCCACGAGGCCUCAUUGCCACGAGGCCCCCUUCCCUAUCCCGAUCCUCAGCCCCACAAUGAAUUCACAUCACCUACGGAGCUUUGGACCAACAGGUAAUAAACUCCAAUAAAGCAUGCUUUUUAUCAGGGAGAAAAAAAAAUCCCAUUAAUUAUAGUUCAUGACUACUCUAAACCAAAUGUUCAAAUAGUAGUUGGAAAUGAUGCAUAAAAUCUCAGCAUGUUCUGAUAGGUUAUAGAGUCGGUGGUUUAUUGCAAUGUAAAACAAGCCACAGGAAGAGAGGGUGGUUUUGUUUACCAUUUUCAUCAAAGCUGUUCAUCAUGUUGAUAUACUUAUGCUAUGUUGUGACCCCUACGUAUGUUGCGUUUCAUGUGUUUAUUUUGCAG